UUUUUACACUCGAUCUCUUAAUUUUAGGUAAGUUUUUGUGUUGAAUAGUUCAUUUACCCAUGCU
rfam:Cicer arietinum chromosome Ca6, whole genome shotgun sequence.